AAAGCUCUAACCCAGUGCCCCAAGCCUUAGGUCUUCCAUACCCCGGCAGCGGGCCCCGCCCCUCGGUUUCCCAACCUGCCUGACCCCGCCCUGCCUCUCCUAACUCCUCCCAGGCCCCGCCUCCGCCGCUUCCCACAGCCCUUCCCGUCGGCUCCUGGCUCCAGGCUCCCACCCGGCUCGGCGGAGGUGGAAGCGCGCAGGCGCCGUUGGCGGCAGGCAGAGUGCGGAGUAGCGGCGCGGGGUGCGCGGUGGCUUAGCACACUGGUUUGCAGACAUCAGCAUGCCUAAUAAUCACAAGAAUGAAUUGAUUUCUGGACCCCAUCCCUCGAGUUUCUGAUGGGUGGAAUGUGGCCUGAGGAAUAUUCACGUCUUAUAAGUUUCCCAAUGAUGGUGUUGCUGCCUACCCUCGGAUCCACAUUGAGUGGCACUGAUUUAGAUGGCAUUAAGAUAGAUUGGAAUGG
rnacentral:lncRNA from 1 species